GUAGGUGGCAAGCGUUGUCCGGAAUUAGUGGGCGUAAAGCGCGCGCAGGCGGUUCUUUAAGUCUGAUGUGAAAGCCCACGGGCUCAACCGUGGAGGGUCAUUGGAAACUGGAGAACUUGAGUACAGAAGAGGAAAGCGGAAUUCCACGUGUAGCGGUGAAAUGCGUAGAGAUGUGGAGGAACACCAGUGGCGAAGGCGGCUUUCUGGUCUGUAACUGACGCUGAGGCGCGAAAGCGUGGGGAGCAAACAGGAUUAGAUACCCUGGUAGUCCACGCCGUAAACGACGAGUGCUAAGUGUUAGGGGGUUUCCGCCCCUUAGUGCUGCAGCUAACGCAUUAAGCACUCCGCCUGGGGAGUACGGCCGCAAAGGCUG
rnacentral:rRNA from 1 species